AUGUCUUGCACCAGAAGAGUAUGGUUUUUUUUCAUAGAUGGUCCGGGAGGUACAGAAAAAACGUACCUUUAUAAGGCUUUGCUCGCUAAAGUGCGGUCGAUGGGGCGAAUAGGUAUCGCAACAGCAACGUCAGGCAUUGCUGCGUCUAUCAUGCCUGGCGGUAGAACAGCACAUUCCAGGUUCAAAAUUCCCAUUAAUAUUCAGGAUGACAGCAUGUGCAACUUCAGUAAACAGAGUGGAACUGCAGAAUUACUCAAGAGGUCAUCUUUAAUAAUUUGGGACAAAGUUGCUAUGACAAAGUGUCAAGCUGUGGAGGCACUUGAUAGAUCCCUGCGAGAUAUCACCGGUUGUGGAUCACCCUUUGGAGGAAAAGUAGUAGUGUUUGGAGGUGAUUUUAGACAGGUUCUUCCAGUGGUGAGGCAUGGCACUAGAGCACAAUUUACAGAUGCUACACUAAAGAAGUCUUAUCUUUGGCAAGACAUAAAACAUAUCAAACUUUGGCGCAAUAUGAGGGCUUUGUUUGAUCCAUGGUUCUUUGAUUUUCUCCUUAGAAUUGGUAACAGUACAGAGGAAUCGAUUGGUCAAGAAUAUGUGCGCCUGCCUGAAGAAAUUGUUAUAGGUUACACGGAUUUGAAAGCCUCUGUUAGUAAGUUAAUUGAUGACAUCUUUCCUCUAAUGGACAAAAAUGGAAACUCACCGUCCUAUAUUAGUGCACGUGCAAUUCUUUCCACAAAGAAUGAAUAUGUGGAUGAGUUAAAUGAUAUGCUUAUUGACCGAUUUCCUGGAGAAGAAAAGGUCUAUUACAGUUUUGACUCAGUGGUUGAUGAUCCACAUAAUCACUAUCAACCUGAGUUCCUAAAUUCACUCACACCUAAUGGCCUUCCUCCACAUAUUCUCAGAUUGAAGAUCAACUGCCCUGUUAUUUUGAUUCGCAACCUUGAUCCUUCUAAUAGUUUAUGCAAUGGUACAAGGCUUAUCAUUAAGGCAUUUCAAGAGAACACUAUUGAUGCAGAAAUUAUUGGCGGACAAUAUGCUGGGAAGCGAGUGUUCCUUCCACGAAUUCCUCUUUAUCCUUCAAAGGAUGAUGUUCUCCCCUUCAAGUUUAAAAGAAAGCAAUUUCCAAUUCGGCUUAGUUUUGCCAUGACAAUCAACAAAGCCCAGGGUCAAACCAUCCCAAAUGUUGGCAUCUAUCUUCCUGAGCUGGUGUUCUCUCAUGGCCAACUCUAUGUCGCUCUGUCUAGAGGGAUAUCAAGACAAACAACUAUAGUACUUGCAAAACCAAAUAAGGAUAUUGACCCAUCAGGGAAAAGCACAAAAAAUAUUGUCUACAGGGAUGUUUUGGUAUAA
rnacentral:rRNA from 1 species